CUAAUAAAGUGAUACGAUGAACGCGUUUGAUUGACGCUUUGUUGUCUAUUUUAGUAUGUACGCCUUUCAACCAAGCUGGAGAGAAGCUCCCUAUUCUUACCACCACCAAAUUAGAUCUACUUCUCAAUUGCGUUUUGUUAUGUGUUAAAAGAAGCGAGUUAUUGCGCAUAAACAUGCUAAUUCUGGAAUUCUUGGCUGAUAUUAUCGUUAAACUUGAUCUUAUGCUGGCUGGGGUACUGACUUUAGUCAUAGUAUUAGAAGAAGUUAGUUCUAGGAAGAUGCCACAAACGAAACGAAAUGGAGAAAGUAGUUGUAUAAAUUCCGAUUGCAGCUAAUAAGGCCAAUACAAGAGUGGUAAAAGGCGAGUUUCUUCUUUUCAUUCUUUAUUGACUGUAGCAGUUAAGGCGACUUUAUAAAAACCAUGAAUAAACACGAACUGCAAAAUGA